AUACCUAGUAGUGCAAUUGCUGGGUCGUAGGGCAGUUCUAUUUUUAAUCUUUUGAGGAACCUCCAUACUGUUUUCCAGAGUGACUGCACCAGUUUGCAUUCUCACCAGCAGUACAAAAGAGAUCCUCUUUCUCCACAUCCUCGCCAACCUCUGUUGUUGCCUGAGUUGUUAAUGUUAGCCAUUCUGACAGGUGUGAGGUGGUAUCUCAUUGUGGUUUUGAUUUAUAUUUCCCUGGUGAUGAGUGAUGUUGAGCAUUUUUUCAUGUGUCAGUUGGCCAUCUGGAUGGGUUGUUUGGAGAAGUGUCUUUUCAUGCAAGACUGCUUUUUAGAUAAACUCCUUGGAGUGUAGGGGAAGGGAAUUUUGGGGUGAAAUGAUUUACUUUUGCACUAGGGUUACUUCUGAUUUCUGUCUGUCCAGGCAGUCCACGAUGUCAUCUAAGGAUUGGCUGAUUCCUUCUCAUCCCUUCAAGGUCUCUCAGUAUAAUGCAAGCCAGACUAUGCACCUGCCCUCAGUGGCAACUCUUUGUAAGGCCUAGUACUGCAAGAGAUUUGGGGCAACUCUCACUGCACACCCAUCAAAAUAGUCUGCCUCCCUCCACCCCAUUCCUUCUGUCAGAUGGAAGACAUGUUGCAUACUGGCGUCUCCCAUAUCUAAGUCUCUUCUGUCUAGGCACGUAAAGACUCCCCAGUUGAUUGUGGUAAGUCCAUACUGAGAUUUUUUCCUUCAUAUUUCCACUUGAAGAGAUUCAAUAAUCCAAUCACCCAGAUGUAGGGUGUGUGGCACUGUUACAACAUUUAGUGGAGAGGAUAGGCGUCGACACUUAUCUUUUCCCUCCCAAGUUCUCAAUCAACCGAGGAGAUGACAAAAAGAGAAGGCAUAUGGGAGAGCAAAAAUAUUAACCUAUAUCAAUGAAGGAGCUGAUAUUAGAGUAUGUGACACAUAUUUGUGGACACGUGCUUUCAUGUUCUGAAUCCCAGAAUCUGACACUCUCCUUCCCUGUCCCUGGUCUCUGCAGUGAGAGUAGGCCUGUCUCCAUCCAUUUAUAGCAUGGCCAAGAGCAGCCCAGAGCACUGAGGGCAGACUCACUCCCAAGAGAAAGGGGAAGGCAAAAGGCUGGGAUUUCUGUUAUGGGUUGAAGUGUGUCCCUCAAAAAUUCAUCCUAACCACCAGUAUCUCAGAAUGUGAUCUUACCUGGAAUAUGGUUGUUACAGGUGUAGUUAGUUAAGAUGAAGUCACAUUGGAAGAGGCUGGGCUUCUAAUCCAAUAUUACUGGUAUCCUUAUUUUUUUUUUUAAAAAGAAGAAUUUGGAUACAGACAGCACACAGGGGGAACCUCAUAUGAAAAUAAAAACAGAGAAGUGGGUUAUGCUUCUACA
rnacentral:lncRNA from 1 species